AUUGAACGCUGGCGGCAUGCCUUACACAUGCAAGUCGGACGAGUGGCGAACGGGUGUGUAAUAUAUUGGAACGUACCGAGUAAUGGGGGAUAACCAAUCGAAAGAUUGGCUAAUACCGCAUAGUAUUCGAGCGGCCUAUAUCUGAUUAGCUAGUGGGUGGGGUAAAGGCCUACGAAGGCGACGAUCAGUAGCGGGUCUGAGAGGAUGAUGGGCCAUCCGGGGACUGAGACACGGCCCGGACUCCUACGGGAGGAAGAAGUGGGGAAUUUUGGACAAUGGGCGCAAUCCUGACGCAGCCAUGCCGCGUGUCUGAAGAAGGUCUUCGGGUUGUAAAGGACUUUUGUUAGGGAAGCGGUACCUAAAGAAAAAGCACCGGCUAACUACGUGCCAGCAGCCGCGGUAAUUC
rnacentral:rRNA from 1 species